GCGUAGAGAUGUGGAGGAAUACCGAUGGCGAAGGCAGCCCCCUGGGCCAAUACUGACGCUCAUGCACGAAAGCGUGGGAGCAAACAGGAUUCGAUACCGUGGUAGUCCACGCCCUAAACGAUGUCAACUAGUUGUUGGGGAUUCAUUUCCUUAGUAACGAAGCUAACGCGUGAAGUUGACCGCCUGGGGAGUACGGUCGCAAGAUUAAAACUCAAAGGAAUUGACGGGGACCCGCACAAGCGGUGGAUGAUGUGGAUUAAUUCGAUGCAACGCGAAAAACCUUACUUACCCUUGACAUGUACGGAAUCCUGCUGAGAGGUGGGAGUGCUCGAAAGAGAACCGUAACACAGGUGCUGCAUGGCCGUCGUCAGCUCGUGUCGUGAGAUGUUGGGUUAAGUCCCGCAACGAGCGCAACCCUUGUCCUUAGUUGCUACGCAAGAGCACUCUAGGGAGACUGCCGGUGACAAACCGGAGGAAGGUGGGGAUGACGUCAAGUCCUCAUGGCCCUUAUGGGUAGGGCUUCACACGUCAUACAAUGGUCGGUACAGAGGGCUGCCAAACCGCGAGGUGGAGCUAACCCCAGAAAACCGAUCGUAGUCCGGAUCGCAGUCUGCAACUCGACUGCGUGAAGCGGGAAUCGCUAGUAAUCGCGGAUCAGCAUGUCGCGGUGAAUACGUUCCCGGGUCUUGUACACACCGCCCGUCACACCAUGGGAGU
rnacentral:rRNA from 1 species